rnacentral:rRNA from 1 species
UACGAGUGCCUCAAGCGUUAUCCGGAAUCAUUGGGCGUAAAGGAUGUGUAGGUGGUCUUGUUAGUCUUUUGUUAAAUUUCCCGGCUUAACCGGGAACCUGCAGAAGAAACGGCAAGACUUGAGGAUGUAAGGGGUCUCUGGAACUCAUAGUGUAGCGGUGAAAUGCGUUGAUAUUAUGGGGAACACCAAAAGCGAAGGCAAGAGACUGGGAUAUUCCUGACACUGAAACAUGAAAGCGUGGGUAGCGAAUGGG